UGGCUCCCUCUGGAAUGGCGGCGAGACACUUGCGGUCUCGGAAGAGAAGUACAUCGAAUUUUAGAGCUGGAAGAUGAGCCGGAUCUGAUUUUCCCUUUUAAGAUCUUCCGCGGUUCUUCGUCAGUGGAGGCGUGUGGCUUGGAGGGACGACUCCGCCAUCCCGGAUCUACCUUUUGUCAUGGUUGUUUAACCCAAAACCAGUGUGUUUGUUGGAUUUAGA
rnacentral:lncRNA from 1 species